UGCAGUCGAGUGCGCGUGCCGUAGCAAUACGGCAUGGCGCACGGCGCACGGGUGCGUAACACGUGGGCAAUCUGCCCUUCGAUGGGGAAUAACUCCGGGAAACCGGAGCUAAUUCCGCAUAACAUUCCUUGGACUUCGGUUCGAGGACUCAAAGCCGUAAGGCGUCGAAGGAGGAGCCCGCGCCCGAUUAGCUAGUUGGUAGGGUAACGGCCUACCAAGGCUUUGAUCGGUAGCUGGUCUGAGAGGAUGGCCAGCCACACUGGAACUGAGACACGGUCCAGACUCCUACGGGAGGCAGCAGUGGGGAAUCUUGCGCAAUGGGCGAAAGCCUGACGCAGCGACGCCGCGUGGGGGAUGAAGCAUCUCGGUGUGUAAACCCCUUUCGACUGGGACGAAUACCUCGUAAGAGGGGUGACGGUACCAGUAGAAGAAGCCCCGGCUAACUACGUGCCAGCAGCCGCGGUAAGACGUAGGGGGCCAGCGUUGUUCGGAAUUACUGGGUGUAAAGGGUUCGUAGGCGGUGUGGCAAGUCGGGAGUGAAAUUUCUGGGCUUAACCCAGAAGCUGCUUCCGAAACUGCUGUGCUUGAGUGUGGGAGAGGCGCGUGGAAUUGCAGGUGUAGCGGUGAAAUGCGUAGAUAUCUGCAGGAACACCCGUGGCGAAAGCGGCGCGCUGGACCACAACUGACGCUGAGGAACGAAAGCUAGGGGAGCAAACAGGAUUAGAUACCCGGGUAGUCCUAGCCCUAAACGAUCAGGACUUGGGGUGCCGCACGUUCGUGCGUCGUCCCGGAGCUAACGCGUUAAGACCUGCACCUGGGGAGUACGGUCGCAAGAUGAAACUCAAAGGAAUUGACGGGGGCCCGCACAAGCGGUGGAACAUGUGGUUCAAUUCGACGCUACGCGAGGAACCUUACCUGGGCUCGAAAUGCUUCUGACCAGCUGUA
rnacentral:rRNA from 1 species